rnacentral:rRNA from 1 species
GCCAGCGACUACACCACUUAAAAACCUUUGGUUUCCCUCGCACCAUCUAGGUUGUGCUACGUCGGGCCGGGUUAGUACAUGACUGGAUGACGGAAUAGGAACGUUAGAGGUUGCUGGCC